rnacentral:lncRNA from 1 species
UUAAAAGCAGCUUGUGCUGUGUUGAGGAAUCUGAACAUCACUGGGCAGGACAAGUGGGGCCUUUAAAAGAGACAAGCAGCGAAAUCAGAUCCAGGUAAACUCAACAUGCAGCCAUCGCUGUGGGAGAUAAUGCACUUGACAAGUACGCUAUACUCUAUGCUAUAUAUUAUGUUUUAAAGCUAAUGCUAUUAUCAUUUGUUAUGUUAAAGCUAAUGGGAACGAAAGUAGAGUUAACAGCAUGACUAUUUUCUGUCCCUGGAACACUUGCGUGCUACUCCUCUGGUACAGCUUUCUUAACUCCCUUGAAAUUUAAACACAAUUUUUCUCUGAAACGUAAUCUUUUAAAACAGGUUUGUUAAUUUCACGAAAAUUUUGUAAGAGACAUUCCAUACCUGAGACACUUUGCCUGUUGGAAUCUGAGUCCCCAUUACUGGAAUUAGAAUUAUUGGAAGAGUUGUUGUCAACCCCUCCCAGAAGGGGGCGCAAGUGGCUUACUGAGACUUGUUCAAUGAAAGAUGUUCCAUACUUGCGAAAAUACCACCAUUCAAAUAUCUAGAACAGAAAGAUAAUGCAUGUUUAUGACG